CGGUGGACUUUAAAGGCGGGUC
rnacentral:misc_RNA from 1 species